rnacentral:rRNA from 1 species
CCUACGGGCGGCAGCAGUGGGGAAUAUUGCGCAAUGGGCGAAAGUCUGACGCAGCGACGCCGCGUGAGGGAUGAAGGUCUUCGGAUCGUAAAGCUCUGUUAGUAGGGAAGUACGGUCACUGUGGUAAUCAGCAUUGAAUUGACGGUAAUUGCAAAGGAAGCACCGGCUAACUCCGUGCCAGCAGCCGCGGUAAUACGGAGGGUGCGAGCGUUAUUCGGAUGUAUUGGGCGUAAAGCGAUCGUAGGCGGUAUGUUAAGUCUGGGGUGAAAGCCUGCGGCUCAACGGGAGAAUUGCAUUUGAAACUGGCAAACUGGAGUGCAGGAGAGGAGGGUGGAAUUCCAGGUGUAGGGGUGAAAUGCGUAGAUAUAUGGAAGAACAUCAGUGGCGAAGGCGGCUCUCUGGCCCGUAACUGACGCUGAGGCGCGAAAGCGUGGGUAGCAAACAGGAUUAGAUACCCGAGUAGUC